GCCCGGGUGGCGGAAUUGGUAGACGCACCAGUUUCAGGUACUGGCGCCGCGAGGCGUAGGGGUUCGAGUCCCUUUCCGGGCACCA
rnacentral:tRNA from 1 species